rnacentral:lncRNA from 1 species
GUCUUUUUAAGGCUGCAGCAGUGGCACAUGGAAGUUGAAUCGAAUUGGAGCUGCAGCUGCCGGCCUACACCACAGCUACAGCAACUCAGGAUCCGAGCCUCUCAUCUGUGACCUAUACCACAGCUCAUGGCAAUGCCAGAUCCUUAACCCUCUGAGCAAGGACAGGAAUCAAACCUACAUCCUCGUGGAUACUAGUCAGAUUCAUUACUGCUGAGCCAUGACAGGAACUCCCCAUAUGGUCUUUUAAAGGUUUUCUUGAUCAAAUAAAAAGCCCAAUCCCUUCAUUUUAGAGAGUAUCUUUUACUUAAGAAACUUUGACAUUACUCUGUCUUGGACAAUUUGUACAAAACUAUUUUCUUUAGAUAGAAACAUUAUUAACCACUUGACAUAUAUGGGAAAGUGGAGGCCAAGCUGGGAAAGAUGAAAUUAGACAAAAUUCCUCCUAUCUCUGGGCUCAAAGAUUUCCUACCUCACCAAUGUGGCAGAGAUGGCUAUUUGGAUACCUUAUAGCCAUGUCUCCUUUUCUUCCUUAGCAGCACACUCUAAUUUUACUUGCAGCCAAGCCUCCCUUUCAAACAAGGCUUGAUCAUGUGACCAAGCUCUGGACCAACAUUAAGUAGACUUUUGUGGGACGAUUCCAAGAAGACAUUUUAAAAGGGCCUGAAUCGAUAAGGGUGGAUGCUUUUCAUCCCUCUCCCCUUCUUCCUUCUGGGUCCCUAGCCAUGAAAAGCAGAGGUUCUAUCCACCAUCUCGGACCAUGAGAUGACCUUGAGGACAAAAGCCAGGCAUUGGGACAGAAAAGAUGAAAUAAUGGGAGGAAAAGUGCCUGGGGAUCCAGAAGUGGCCAUGCCAACCCUAGCUUGACUUUCUCUGGAAAUUUUUAUAUGAGAAAGAAAUAAGCAAUUUUUGUAAAGCCACUAUUAUUUAGAAAGGUGCUUAUUUUCCAUGCAGUUAACCCUAAUCCUAACCACUAUUACAAUGAGAUAGCUUAAUUGGAGAAGUGAUGCAGAAAGACAAUUCUAUCCACUGUGAUAUCUGGUUCCUCCAUUUGUUUCCAGGAUCACAAAAGGAAGAAAAGAAUAAUGGACAUCACAGAAUUCAUCAGACACUAGGUGCCACCAAUGGUGUGACACACUAUUGGCUUACGUAUCAUUAACAAAGAAAAAAAAGUUGCCAAUUAAACUAUGACAUGUCACUGAUGGUAAGAUGCAUCAGAAAUGUUACAAUGUGAGGGGAAAAAAACAACCUAUGAAAUAUGUGGGCUCAGAAUGUAGUGAAGCAUAGGGCUUAGAUUUAAAAUUCAGCAGAUCAACCCAUCCCCCAUCCCUCUUUUGAAGUUAGGAAAAGCAAAGCCCAGCCAGGAGCAGUGACUUGCCCAAGUUUAGCAAUGGAACCAAGAUGAGAAUCAUUGCUGUACAUCAAGAGAUCUUUAAUAAGUCCCAACAAAGACCAAAUUUUUGCUCAUGUUACCUUGAUGGCUAGUGACAUGUUUAUUUAAUCAACCACCUGUUCAUGUUUUUCUCUCUAAAGUACAUGGCACUGAAUAGAAAAAGGCCCUCACCCCUCCCACACGGAGGGAGAUGAUGGAGGCGGAUUUCACAACAAAUUUACAUUCACACAUUACAGGACCUUGGACAUCAGCUCUGAAGGGGAUGGAGAGCACCAGGUAGCUGCAGAGAACCAUGGGUAGGAAUCUUCUAAAACACAGGAAAUUUAGGUGGUCCAGCAGCAGCUGAUGACUGGGACUCCAAGGGGAUUCAAUUUAAAUCUCUGCUCCCUCCUCCUGCUCAAUGAGGAGACCCUCUGAUAAAUGGUACCCAUCACAGAGGAUGCCAACAGUCUGGACACCCAAUUAUCAGAGAGGGAAGUGGCCUGAGAUCACACCUCUGCUCUAGCCUACAUGCAGAUAGAAAGGCUUCUCAUCUCUCAAAGUGUGAUUGGAGCUAGAAAGACCAUGCUGGUGCCAGCACAGAUGAUUCUGGAGGCAAAGAAUAUAGAACAGAGGCCACUUCAAUUAUUCACAUAAAGGAUACUGGGGUCUUGGACGGAAGAGGUGAAGUGGGAAAGAAUAAAAGGGAUGAUCCAAGCAAUCAUCUAUAAAGCUUCUGAAAUAUCAGGCUUCCAAAGUCACUUUAGACACCGGUUUUGGUACCGUUUCCUCCUCUGCUCCCCAAAGGGUGGUGUCCUCACUCUCGACAUCCCUCGUUGCAAUCCAUCCUUCUUUCAGACUAUGCAUAAAUAAGGUACGAAUGACUAAUAACAGUGUAGAUGGCAGAUGAUAGCUGCCUCCCUGUAGGGAAUCCAAGACGGUCUAAAGGAUGCAGUGGUGAUGGCGGAAAUGUCAAACAGCACCCUGAGAAUGGAGAAGCACCACAGUCACCGGGACUCCCAUUGCUAUUGACCUCCAAGGAGUCUUUCCUGCACUGAGGAUGCUUUCAUGGAAAAUAAGCAUGAUUUUCCCAAUUUUUGUCCUAGCAAAAAACCCCUCAAUAUUGGGUAUGUAUGUAUGGUGUGUGUAAGAAUAUCCAAAUUAGAGAAACUUUUGCACAACAGAACAAUGUAAAGAAAGGUAAAGAAUUAUUUUUCAAUAUACACAAUAGUGUGGAUUGGACUCCUACAGCACAGGAAAGCAGAAAUGUCUAGGGAGCCUGCUUUAAUGAAGACAUAAGAAUGGUUUAUAAUUAGCAGAAGCCUUGAAAUGGGAUUUUUCUCUGCUUCGUUCAAGUAAGAUGGAGUUUCUGAAAAAGCUCUAAAAACUAGAAAGCACUAUAGACGUGUUUCCUUCAACACUGCAUGAUUGUUUGAAUUGGUUUUGUUCUCACCAGGCACUGAUUGUAUUGCAAUUGAAUCCUCCCCACAAUCAGAGCUAGAAUUCUCUUUAUUGNAAAAAAAAAAAAAAAAAAAAAAAAAAAAAAACAUAGGUUCGGAAAAAGUAACUAACUAGCCCAAGGCAGUGCCCUUCCCAAAACUGUACAGCUAUCCAGAUGGGGGCCAGUGGGCCAGGCAUGGAAUUCCAACACAAGACCUCUUCCUUGCAAUCAACCCCCAGGAAAGGAAGACAGCUGAUGUUUACUGAGCCCUUACCAUGGUCAAGGGAAACUUUGAAGCACUGUCGCCUCCUGUGCUCCCCAGAACAAACCUAAGUAGGUACUAUCAUUAUCCUCCCUAAACUGAUGAGAAAACUAAGGUCCAGAGAGGCUGGGAACCUGCCCAAGGUCACCCCAAGGAGGUGGCAGGACCAGAUCUCAGGCAGAAGUCUGGUAAGCACCAAAGACAUAGCUAACUUGUCUCAAUCCAACAUGUUCCCACCCCACGGCCAUAAAUAUGCAUUUGGUUUAUUUGGAAAAAUAACACUUUUCAGCUCCUCUGGGGAAAGGACCUAAGGGUACCUUCAGUCUGAAUGGAUAUUGUCUCACCAGGAAUCAUUUCUGGAGUGGGCAAAUGGUCUCCCUCUCUCUGUAAACCUGCAGUCCGCCAAAUGAAUAUAUAAUGAGGCUUUCGGAACAUUGAGACAUUAUUUUCCUGCUAAUCCUGGACCAUUUAGAAGGAGAUCAGACCUGGCUCCACUUGGCAGGGAGAGCUGUGUUAGUGAUUCAUUCCAAAGCAUGAAAGGACAGGACAGAAACAGUCGCUGGAAAAGGGGUCAGAUCUCAAUAUAGCAGCUGAUCCUAAACAUCUAGAAAAGGAACUGGAGUUAGCACUUCUGUCUGUCCAGAAAGGCAGCUGGAAGAUGCAGAUAAAAGAAGGACCACUCAUUUCCUCCCCCUACCACCUCCUCCAUCACACACAACUUUGAAUGCCUCCAAAUACAGGAGGGAGAGAGGGUGCUGGGUCCAAAGACAGGGGUGGGCCGGAAGGAAGGAGCGGCCUGAAAGCUGAUCAAAAACACUUUCAAGUUAAGAUUAAACUCUGCAGAUUGCAGGAGGCCAAUUUAAUGGGAAACAUUCCCUGUUCCCCAGUCCCCUCCUCUGGCUUCCCAUGGGAAGGGGACUGGGCUGUGAUGUUGCUCAUCAGAGAAGCCCCUGGGUACCAGAUCUUAACCAAAUGAGCAGCUGCGAAAAGCGAAAAAGAUAGAACCGAGGAAAAAAUAGUUUACAAAGUGUUGAAAGGGAGAGAAGGGCGGGAAAGGGGGAUUUUAAUUAUCCUGCAUCCUUUCCAUGGAGGGGCAGGACACCCAGGGACAUUGAAAGGCCAUUCGCUCUGAAAGAUGAAGCUGGCCUGGGAGACAGGGUGUCUGGGCUCCAGCUCCAGCUCAGCCCCUUGACUUUCCCAGGCCUCAGUUUCCCCAUAUGGCAAAUGGAAAGGUUGGUCGCUAUAAAAAUUGAGAUUGUGUUAUACUGUGCCAGUGUGUACAGUGGCUAAAUCUAGAGUCUGUUCAAAUCCCUCUUCUCCCACCUAGAGGCUGUGUGACCCUGACAAGUGCCCUAACUUCUCUGAGCCUCAGUUUCCUUUCUGCAGAACAGCAGUCAUGAAUAUUUCUACCUGUUAGGAGCAUGGUGAGGAUCAAAUGCGUUAGUCCAUGCAAAGCGCAUAAAACAGCAUGUGGCCCACAGUAGGCGUGCAAUUGAUAUAUAAGCUACUGUUGCUGUUACGGAUGGUUCAGACGCAUCCUGCAAAGCAUGGUGGGCUGUGGGGGAGGGGAAGCUCCUAGGGAUAUAAAUUUGAGACUUAGCCCUGAAAGUCAUUUAGUUUAUCCCUAGGCCCAGCUUUUUCACCCAAAAUAAGGAGCCUGUGGGUAUUACAUGUGGUUUGUGGUAGCCCAGUGCUCUGCACAUAUGAGGUCAACACUGGUUGUCACCUCUCAUAGGUGGAAAUGGGGAGUUAUUUCCAAUGGGAUCUGCAGUUAUUCGAAAGAAAUGAGUUCUAGAAAGCCACUGUACCC